rnacentral:rRNA from 1 species
CCUACGGGCGGCAGCAGUAGGGAAUCUUCCACAAUGGGCGAAAGCCUGAUGGAGCAACGCCGCGUGGGGGAAGACGGUCCUACGGAUUGUAAACCUCUUUUGCCGGGGAGCAACGGGGUCCUUGCGAGGGCCCGAUGAGAGUACCCGGAGAAAAAGCAUCGGCUAACUCCGUGCCAGCAGCCGCGGUAAUACGGAGGAUGCGAGCGUUAUCCGGAUUUAUUGGGGUUAAAGGGUGCGUAGGCGGGCUGUUAAGUCAGCGGUCAAAUGUCGGGGCUCAACCCCGGCCUGCCGUUGAAACUGGCGGCCUCGAGUGGGCGAGAAGUAUGCGGAAUGCGUGGUGUAGCGGUGAAAUGCAUAGAUAUCACGCAGAACUCCGAUUGCGAAGGCAGCAUACCGGCGCCCGACUGACGCUGAGGCACGAAAGCGUGGGUAUCGAACAGGAUUAGAUACCCGAGUAGUC